CCUACGGGUGACUGCAGUGAGGAAUAUUGGUCAAUGGGCGCGAGCCUGAACCAGCCAAGUAGCGUGCAGGAUGACUGCCCUACGGGUUGUAAACUGCUUUUGUACAGGAGUAAAGGCAGGCACGCGUGCCUUUUUGUAUGUACUUUACGAAUAAGGAUCGGCUAACUCCGUGCCAGCAGCCGCGGUAAUACGGAGGAGGCAAGCGUUAUCCGGAUUUACUGGGUGUAAAGGGUGCGUAGACGGCAGUGCAAGUCUGGAGUGAAAUGCAGAGGCUCAACCCCGGGACUGCUCUUGAUACUGUACGGCUGGAGAGCAGGAGAGGUAAGUGGAAUGUCUGGUGUAGCGGUGAAAUGCGUAGAUAUUAGAAGGAACACCAGUGGCGAAGGCAGCUUAC
rnacentral:rRNA from 1 species